rnacentral:rRNA from 1 species
GAUGAACGCUAGCGGGAGGCCUAACACAUGCAAGCCGAGCGGUAGAGAUCUUUCGGGAUCUUGAGAGCGGCGUACGGGUGCGGAACACGUGUGCAACCUGCCUUUAUCAGGGGGAUAGCCUUUCGAAAGGAAGAUUAAUACCCCAUAAUAUAUUAAGUGGCAUCAUUUGAUAUUGAAAACUCCGGUGGAUAGAGAUGGGCACGCGCAAGAUUAGAUAGUUGGUAGGGUAACGGCCUACCAAGUCAGUGAUCUUUAGGGGGCCUGAGAGGGUGAUCCCCCACACUGGUACUGAGACACGGACCAGACUCCUACGGGAGGCAGCAGUGAGGAAUAUUGGACAAUGGGUGAGAGCCUGAUCCAGCCAUCCCGCGUGAAGGACGACGGCCCUAUGGGUUGUAAACUUCUUUUGUAUAGGGAUAAACCUUUCCACGUGUGGAAAGCUGAAGGUACUAUACGAAUAAGCACCGGCUAACUCCGUGCCAGCAGCCGCGGCAAUACGGAGGGUGCAAGCGUUAUCCGGAUUUAUUGGGUUUAAAGGGUCCGUAGGCGGAUCUGUAAGUCAGUGGUGAAAUCUCAUAGCUUAACUAUGAAACUGCCAUUGAUACUGCAGGUCUUGAGUAAAGUAGAAGUGGCUGGAAUAAGUAGUGUAGCGGUGAAAUGCAUAGAUAUUACUUAGAACACCAAUUGCGAAGGCAGGUCACUAUGUUUUAACUGACGCUGAUGGACGAAAGCGUGGGGAGCGAACAGGAUUAGAUACCCUGGUAGUCCACGCCGUAAACGAUGCUAACUCGUUUUUGGGUUUUCGGAUUCAGAGACUAAGCGAAAGUGAUAAGUUAGCCACCUGGGGAGUACGUUUGCAAGAAUGAAACUCAAAGGGAUUGACGGGGGCCCGCACAAGCGGUGGAUUAUGUGGUUUAACUCGAUGAUACGCGAGGAACCUUACCAAGGCUUAAAUGGGAAUUGACAGGUUUAGAAAUAGACUUUUCUUCGGACAAUUUUCAAGGUGCUGCAUGGUUGUCGUCAGCUCGUGCCGUGAGGUGUUAGGUUAAGUCCUGCAACGAGCGCAACCCCUGUCACUAGUUGCCAUCAUUCAGUUGGGGACUCUAGUGAGACUGCCUACGCAAGUAGAGAGGAAGGUGGGGAUGACGUCAAAUCAUCACGGCCCUUACGCCUUGGGCCACACACGUAAUACAAUGGCCGGCACAGAGGGCGGCUACCUAGCGAUAGGAUGCGAAUCUCGAAAGCCGGUCCCAGUUCGGAUUGGAGUCUGCAACUCGACUCUAUGAAGCUGGAAUCGCUAGUAAUCGCAUAUCAGCCAUGAUGCGGUGAAUACGUUCCCGGGCCU